AGAGUUUGAUCCUGGCUCAGAAUGAACGUUGGCGGCAUGGAUUAGGCAUGCAAGUCGAGCGCGAUACCUUUUUUGCUUGCAUUAAAGGUGGAAAGCGGCGAAAGGGAGAGUAACGCGUAGAAAUGUACCCCGAGGUCUGGGAUAGCGGUGGGAAACUGCCGGUAAUACCGGAUAAUGUCCCCGGACCAAAGUUUUUCGCCUUGGGAGCAGUCUGCGUACUAUUAGGUUGUUGGUGGGGUAAUGGCCUACCAAGCCUACGAUGGUUAGCGGGCGUGAGAGCGUGGCCCGUCUCACUGGGACUGAGACACUGCCCAGACGUCUACGGACGGCUGCAGUCGAGAAUCUUCCGCAAUGGGCGAAAGCCUGACGGAGCAAUGCCGCGUGCGGGAUGAAUGCCUUCGGGUUGUAAACCGCUGUCAGUAGGGAGGAAAUUUUGACCGAUCUACAGAGGAAGUCCGGGCUAAGUACGUGCCAGCAGCCGCGGUAACACGUACCGGACGAACGUUAUUCGGAAUCACUGGGCUUAAAGAGUGCGUAGGCGGCCUUGUAGGUGAGAUGUGAAAUCCCACGGCUCAACCGUGGAACUGCGUUUCAAACCACAAGGCUUGAGGGAGGCAGGGGUGAGCGGAACUGAUGGUGGAGCGGUGAAAUGCGUUGAUAUCAUCAGGAACACCGGUGGCGAAGGCGGCUCACUGGGUCUCUUCUGACGCUGAGGCACGAAAGCUAGGGUAGCGAACGGGAUUAGAUACCCCGGUAGUCCUAGCUGUAAACGAUGAGCACUAGUUCGAGGGGACUUCCACAUCUUCUCGGACGUAGCGAAAGUGUUAAGUGCUCCGCCUGG
rnacentral:rRNA from 1 species